AGACCCAUAUUCCAUUGGAAAUGCUCUUACACAUUUAUCUUCGCAUACAUCGGAGAAGCUCUAACUUCGGAAGUGAUUUACUAGGCGACACAAAUCUAGCAUUUUCAAACAAAUUAUUUUUCGUGGAUUUUCUUAAAUUUGUACAUAAUAAGUAGCUAACUUCGGAAGUUUUAGAUUUAUUUCUUGACAUAAGUUCUUUGGUAACCAUAUUAAAUUGGAGAAUUUUCUUUUUUAUACGUACGCUCCUUAGUUAUACAGAUAUACGGACGAUCAACGAACUUUGUUUGUUAGGGAAUAAAGGUUUUAUGUUUGGUUGAGAAGAACAAAUAUGGAAAAUCACUUGAUAUCCAUGCUUCGAUCUUUUGCAAGGGAGUGCGCGAAUCAACUAUAUUUGGUUAAGAAAUAAGAAUUUGAUUUUGUAGUUUCAAUUUCAAUACCAUCAAUAUAUGCUUCUGAGUUGUCUUUAAUUUGAGUUCAGAACGCCAUAAUUUUUAUUAUAACUGUCCUUCAGGUUGGCUUUUACGUUAUUAUGGGGGCUGGUAUAGUUCCAGGUUCUCUCCUACCUGAAAAUUUUCCAGGUUGAAUCAGGCAAAGGAAACGUAUGUCUGUAUGUUCAUACAUUGGGUAAUUGUUUGAUCAAGAAUUAUUUUGAAUAUGUUUACUAUGGUGACCUAGGAUUUGAUUAGUUUCGGGCUUAACUCGAGCUUAUAAGUUAAUUUUUAUCAACUCUGACUACGCAGUCUUUAAUCGGGUCAGAAAGUGCAACAGUAUAGUGUUCUACUAAUUGGAUUUGGUUCCCCCGGUUUGGUAUUUGAAGUUUCACCAACUUUUGCACAUCUUGCCUGAUUACUGAUGAUAUAAUUUGAGAAAUUCUCGGUUUAAAUCCUCAAAUUUUGUUGCUGAAGAAGAUGUGUGAGGUUUACUAUCUCAAAUAGGUUUUUGAAAGCAGGGAAGUUUGAUACGAUAAAGCAAAGCAUACAUGGGUAGAGAUGAUUGGAUGGAGGAAGGGAUUUGGUGAUAACACUAUCAAUGAGAUAUCUCCAUCUUUAGAAUGUGCGCGUAUAUGCUAAAGUAACAUAUGCAGAUAUGCUAGAUUAGCAAUUCCUUUAAAUUGAACCUCAUGAUAAAUAUUCUAUCUUGGUUGAUUCUCCGCUUGCACCAAUGCUGACAAAAAAAAAUUGGCUCAAGCAAAAAACUUCUAGAUGUCCAAAAGGUGACAAUUGAUCGUGGUUACCUCGAUCAUAUGAAGGAAUUAUUUUCGUGAAGAAGUUUCCGCUCUAUCAAAUCAAAUCAAAGUUCUCCUUUAUGGAUCCUUGCAGUACCAUCCAAUUUGGGCAGUCGGUUACGAAUUUAUACGAACCGCUUUCUCAUUCGUAUUGAGGAUGGUUCUUAUAAGUUGAUAACUAGCUUCCUCUUGGAAAAUCAUGGAAAUUUUUCUUAGAAUAGGUAGAGCACGACGAAUAAAUAAAUUCCUGGACUGUGAAACAUUCACUUGAUUGAGAAUAUAAUUAAAGAAGACGGGAACUGCUGCUUGUAAUUUUUUCGAUCGAGCAUGAGAUAAUUAUCCUUGCAUCUGAAUUGGAACUUCUUAUUGUCAUGGUUGCUUGUGAUGAAUAUUUUGUAGCAUGAAAAUUGCGUAAAACUGGAACUUCUUAUUGUCAUGGUUGCUGAUAAUUAUCCUUGCACCUGAAUUGGAACUUCUUAUUGUCA